rnacentral:rRNA from 1 species
UCCCUACGGGACGCAGCAGUGAGGAAUAUUGGUCAAUGGUCGGGAGACUGAACCAGCCAAGCCGCGUGAGGGAUGAAGGUACAGAGUAUCGUAAACCUCUUUUGUCAGGGAACAAAGGCGGGGACGUGUCCCCGGAUGAGUGUACCUGAAGAAAAAGCAUCGGCUAACUCCGUGCCAGCAGCCGCGGUAAUACGGAGGAUGCGAGCGUUAUCCGGAUUUAUUGGGGUUAAAGGGGGCGCAGGCGGGCGGUGAAGUCAGAGGUGAAAGCCCGGGGCUCAACCCCGG